GUUUUAAUAAUUUAUAAAAAAAUAUUGGUCUUGUAAACCAAAAAAGAGAAAUUUCUCUUAAAACU
rnacentral:tRNA from 1 species